rnacentral:rRNA from 1 species
CUUCGAGUCGUUGAUUUCACACUGCCGAGAAAAGCCUCUAGAUAGAAAAUAGGUGCCCGUACCGCAAACCGACACAGGUAGUCAAGAUGAGAAUUCUAAGGUGAGCGAGCGAACUCUCGUUAAGGAACUCGGCAAAAUGACCCCGUAACUUCGGGAGAAGGGGUGCUCUUUAGGGUUAACGCCCAGAAGAGCCGCAGUGAAUAGGCCCAAGCGACUGUUUAUCAAAAACACAGGUCUCUGCUAAACCGUAAGGUGAUGUAUAGGGGCUGACGCCUGCCCGGUGCUGGAAGGUUAAGAGGAGUGGUUAGCUUCUGCGAAGCUACGAAUCGAAGCCCCAGUAAACGGCGGCCGUAACUAUAACGGUCCUAAGGUAGCGAAAUUCCUUGUCGGGUAAGUUCCGACCCGCACGAAAGGCGUAACGAUUUGGGCACUGUCUCAACGAGAGACUCGGUGAAAUCAUAGUACCUGUGAAGAUGCAGGUUACCCGCGACAGGACGGAAAGACCCCGUGGAGCUUUACUGUAGCCUGAUAUUGAAAUUCGGCACAGCUUGUACAGGAUAGGUAGGAGCCUUUGAAACGUGAGCGCUAGCUUACGUGGAGGCGCUGGUGGGAUACUACCCUAGCUGUGUUGGCUUUCUAACCCGCACCACUUA